AUUGAACGCUGGCGGCAGGCUUAGCACAUGCAAGUCGAGCGGGGUGAUGGUGCUUGCACUAUCACUUAGCGGCGGACGGGCGAGUAAUGCUUAGGAAUCUGCCUAUUAGUGGGGGACAACAUUUCGAAAGGAAUGCUAAUACCGCAUACGUCCUACGGGAGAAAGCAGGGGAUCUUCGGACCUUGCGCUAAUAGACGACCCUAAGUCGGAUUAGCUAGUGGGUGGGGUAAAGGCCUACCAAGGCGACGAUCUGUAGCGGGUCGGAGAGGAUGAUCCGCCACACUGGGACUGAGACACGGCCCAGACUCCUACGGGAGGCAGCAGUGGGGAAUAUUGGACAAUGGGCGGAAGCCUGAUCCAGCCAUGCCGCGUGUGUGAAGAAGGCCUUAUGGUUGUAAAGCACUUUAGCGAGGAGGAGGCUACUUUAGUUAAUACCUAGAGAUAGUGGACGUUACUCGCAGAAUAAGCACCGGCUAACUCUGUGCCAGCCGCCGCCGUAAUAC
rnacentral:rRNA from 1 species